AAUCAACCAGUGUUGCAUUCGAUGUGUAAAGCCAAUAUCUCUAUUUUCUUUCUCUAGGGCCUACCGGUGGUCCAUUAUGGCCCUGGACUUGGGGACCGCUGCACUAUGGGCGGGGGGGGCAUUGCUCCUUGUCGGCGUGGUUUUAUGGAGGCAUGGACAAGAAAGAAAGAAAGAGAAGAGGAGGAGGGGAUAAGAAUCAGAGGAGGAGGAAAAGAGAGGUGAGAGGUUGCAGAUGAGUUGCAUGGCAUGGGAUAGUGAUGCUGCUGCAUAGGCUCCAUCGCUCCAUCCCUCCCUCGGAGAGAAUGGAAAAAACAAGGAGUGGUUAUGUGAUUCCCCACAUGCAGGGUGAGGAGCGCACAGUGGAGAAAAGGAAUAGCGGGGAGGGGGGCGUUUCCCUGCACAGCACAGUCUAUUAUCACUACACUUGAGCAUGGAUACGUUGUACAGCAUAUGGAGCGGCUUUUUCAGCUGACAUAAAGGUGGACGUGGCGCUCUUGGUGAGAACAGAAGACACGUCCACUUGAGUUGUCAUCAUCAGCAGCCCAGACAUGGACAGUUGGGAUGGAGGAAGAGGCAAGAUGCGAAGGGGAGAGAUGAGGCGAGAAGACUAGAGAAGUAUAGGUAAUGAGGGAGGCGUCAAGAUCUUGUCGAUGUGAUGGCCCUAGCUAGUUUUGGCACUUCUCGCAGAAUGACAGCAGGAUAGGAAGUAGACUAUCACCAGAGUCUGAGAGGUGAGGGGUUUUGUCAGUGGCAAAUGGGAACUUUUGAGGGGUGUCAGGUUCCCUGAAGUGCACCUUUGAUAGGUGAUUGGUUCAUGUGUGUGUGUGCGAAUGGAUAAACAAGCUGAUCCGAGGAUAACAAAGGGAUAAAAGGGUAAAUGCGGGGCAAAGAGAGGGAAGGGCAGCAGAGGGAUCACAAUGAUUAGAGAGGAAAGGUUAAGUGGAAAAGUGAGAGAUGAGAGGAAAAAAAGAAAAGAAAAGAGAGUGCAUCAAGUCAGGUUUGUAAACUAGUUUGUUUCCGGGGGGAACUGUCUGUGGUGCUGAUGUAACCCCACCAACCCGACAACUCCCACCCCCUCUUUUCCCAAUGAAUCUCCUUCUCCCUCAUUCUCUCCUCCUCAGCUAUUGACUGACAGCUACUGUGGCUCUAAUUGGCAAGUGUGGAUAGGGGAGAGUAGAGCUUAUUCUCCAUGGGACGGACCAAGGAAGAGAGAAAGAGAGUGUGUGUUGAGGUGGGGAGGAGAUGGGGGACGUAUCCAGGGAAGUGGUCCAACAAUAGUUGAGGGGAGAGGAGACAAAGCAAAGGAAGGAGGAAAUAGAUGGUCGAAUGGAGUCGUAAACAGUAUGAAGGAAGACAGCGGGUGAGGAGGGGAGGAUGGAGGUGAGGACUAAACAUCUGUUUGGUAAUCACUCUCUCCCCUCAGUGCAGUGUAACACAUACUGACACCUAUUUGAUAAUUGGUGAGCCUGCCCUCUCCCUCAGCGCUUGGCUAAAUGGUUGCUUGAUACUGGGGAGAGCACAGGGACUAGCUGUUGGCAGUGUAAUCUGUUUACUUGGUGCAGCUCAGGUAAAGACGCAUAGCAGGCUGCCUGCGUGUCUGUGUGUGGAUGUAUGCGUUGCUGUUGCUUACAGUCGGGUUAUCAGUCUAACAGUGUGCUCGAGAUGUGACUGCGUGUGUUAAAUGCGUAUUAUAACCUCAGAGCAAUGCCGCUCCCUUGUCAUUCAAGGAUAAAAAAUGAAAAAAAAAAUGAUCUCUUUUGUCUCUUUUAUCCCAGGUGCUGUCCUUAAAGAUGUGCCUCCACACAGACCUACUUCAACACUGCAAUCUUAUUCAGAGUGCAGGAGCUGAAGGGAAGCACACAGAAAAGGAAAGUGAGCUCCACAGUCGAGAGGAGAAAGAAAGUAAUAGAGGGGAGGAGGUGGGCAUUUCUGCUCCUGUCUCGACCACGGGUAUUCUUGGGUUGAUAAUACAGAUGUGGAUGUUAUUGCUUGAGAAUACGCGUAGUCGAGCGGAAGCUUUAUCAUCAGCACUGGACCAUAAACAGAACAUUGCUCAGAGCCCAGGCAGACACAUUUAAAUGUAUAGUCAAACUGAGGCAUUUGGUGAUUUUUAAUUAAGCACCCAGAGGUGACUUUUUAUGGCAAAGGCUUAUUUUGUUUAAUCAGAAAGGGUUUUUUUAUUUUUAAAUAGAAUCCAAUCAGGGCUAGCAGGAGCCCAAAUCCAAUCCAGCCAAUGAAAGGGUUUUAUCAUCGCAGUUUUAUCAACCAUGUCAACCCUUUACACCUGUGGAGGAAAUGAGUUUGUGUCAUUGGCUAGAUUCAGCCUCCCCUGCAGAGGUGCUGGUGGGAAAGACUUGUACCAUGCCACUAAGCUAAACCCCCAGGCAUUAGUUCAGGGAGCUUAACACAAAAGUCUUCAGACUUAGACGUUAAUUCCAAAUUCUUGAUUGCAUACCCUUGUCAUUCAGUCGUGCACACAAGUGAUCCUAUAAUCUUAUCAGUUGAUGGGUGUCUUUCACAGACCUUCACACUCUGCACUGAACAUUUUCCUGAAGCUGAGCAGAAAUUUCAAGUUAAAAGAAAAAAACUAGCCGUGUGUUCCUGGACUUCACAUCCCCCAGGCAAGGGGAUAAUAUAAUAUAUUAUAACUGUGCAUAAGCAUCGUACCGCUGCACUUGCAACCACUGUUGCAUUCCUAUUUUCAAAUCUUGCUAAAAAUGUGUGUUUGAUGCCUGUAGCAGCAACAGUAGACAGUACCACAUGAGGACAUGUCAAGGCUUGCACCCAUGGCUGACAUUUCAGCGUUCAGCUCAGCUGACUGGCUGUCACGAUGGAGAUCCAGACCCACAUUCGCGCAUACGCUCAAGUGCCUGAAUGGUCACAUAAUCUAGAUGCUGGUAGGAAAAUCGGGGAUUGAGGGAUCUCACAAAAAUAGGCAUAUAGAUAGAUCUCACAUAUAUGACUGCACUCACGGUGCAGCUAGUAGGUUCACUGGGUCCAUGUGCCAGUGAGGAAAUAAGGGAUUGACUGAUUUUAUGGUUAACUAUUUUUAGUCAGAAUGAUGGAUGUUUAUGUUCUUUAUUGAUCAAGCUGAGGUGUGGGUUUGAAAAAUUCCCGGACGUUUGGGCGUGCUGAUUAAUCAGGUAGCAGCUGUGUUCGAAUAAAACAUUUUACAUUUUGGGCGCAUUAGCAUUAUUGCUAAGUAUUAUAAAUUAGAAAAUCAGCAUUUCAUUGCAAAUUCAGCAAUACAUUAGCAUCUGGUUAUGUCCGUGAUAAAUUACACCCUUAUCAUUCACACGAUUUCUUACUACUGUGUAAGCAAAUCUCUUAAGAGUGUGUAAUUAUAAUUUAUACAAAUUUCACUCCGAGGUUGCAUAAACUUGUUGAUUGGGCAAAGCCAUUUCUGCGGCUUGGCGUGUAUUUGUGUGUGUGCUUCUAAGCAACAAAAUGACUAUUGUGAGCACAGCUCCAGGUGCCUAGCAACCAAAUCGCUCUGUUUCCUUGGCAACAGUUGCCUUGCACUCACUGUGUGGGUGAUUGGCAGCCUUGACAACGGAGACGGAGUGACACUUGACCUCGCGUGCUGAAUGGGAGAGGAGAAAGAAGAAGCGAGAAAUAGAAGAGAGGGGGAGGCAGUGGGAGGGGACGUGCAGAGACAGAGAAGAGACUAAGUGAUAAUCAUUCUCCAUUGUAAUCAUCCUCCAGCAUGUUUCAUAAGGCGUCGUCAAUACCUCUCCAGCUGGGGUCCAUCAUCAAACACAAUACACAGUACAGUGCUCGCAUGCAUGGACACACUCUUCCUGGGUGGAGAGCCCAGGCAGGCACUCCACAUCUCAUCUAUUAUCACUCAGCCCUGCCUGGUGCACAACCUUGCUACACUGUGUCUUCUUUCAUUUGUGAUCUGCUACAUCCUCCGCUCUGUGGGGAUGAAUGGAUACUGGACUCCUAAAAUGCGUCACGGUCACAAAUGCCACAAGACAGUAGAUAAGGAGCUGCACACAGAGACGUUUAAUUUGAAAUAGGUGCCAUCGUUGUCUUUGGGACAUUUAAAUUGCUGUAAUUAAUUAAAUCAGCGUUUUGGUUUUCUCCAUCUUCAUUGUGCUGUGCGGGAUUUUCUAUUUAUCAGAAAUCGUAUUUUUGACUCUGUGUUUAAGGAUAUCAAAGGAUCAAAACUGCACAAACUCAAAAAAACCUUAUUUCGCUUUUAGCGCGAAACAUACUGUACAAUGCAAACCCAGUUUUAUAAAGGCUUUGUAAAGUUGUGUAAAGGGCCAAUUAAAAAUGAAAUGCAAUUAUUUGAUGAUCAUAAUGGUACCAACACUUUUCAAAAAAGCUGCAACAAGGUGCUGUUUGCUGCUGUUGUAUUUUUUUUAAACAGCUCUCUGUAAACAUUUGGGACCGAGGAGACCAAAUGCUGCAUUUUUGAAAGCAGGGUGUUUUACAUUACUUGCUUACAUUAAGAUUUUAGCUGCUCAGCAAAUACAGGCUUCUUUUUUUUAUUUUUCUUUGUUUCAUAGUGUGCCAAAUGUUUAUAGUAGGUGACAGCUCUGGACUGCAGGCAGUUCUAGCACCAGGACUCUGUUAUUACACAGCAUUGCAGUUAUAAUACAUAUUGAAUGUGGUCUGGCAUUGUCUUGCUGAAAUAAAACAAGGCUUUCCCUGACAAGAUGUUGUCUGGAUUGAAGCAUAUGUUGCUCACUAUUAAUGGCACCUUAACAGAUGUCAUUCGCAGAAACGCCUUCCCUUUGGAUUGCAUGCUAAUCACAAAUCAGAUCACAUCCCUCUCCUCUUACCCAAGAUGAUUUUUUAAAUGUUUUUUUUUAUCCUUUUUUUCACAUGGUAGUUUUAACCCCCAUUUGUGGGUGGAGUGAUUAACUAUAUUUCCUAAUGAUGGUUUCCUAAAAUUAGCUGUGCCCAUUGUGUAUACACUUUUCUGUGGAUGCUCUUAAUGAUAUCAUGUACCAUGAAUUAUGAAAAUCCUGAAAUGAUUUGUCCUGUGCAUUCUGCGACAGUGUGGUGAACUCCCUGUGUUUGCUUCUGAGAUGCUAAUUGUAACCAUUCAUGUUACUAAUUAACCUCAUGAGCACUGACGCGUAAUUAAUAUUUAUGCAGUGAUUCUAUGUAAAGCCUAUGGUGUAGCAUAUGCAAGGUGCCGACGCCCUUUCCAGCAUUUAUAUCUUUAAAUAAGUGUUUGCCAUUAUGCUGUACAUACGGUGUGGAUUAAACACACGAGUAUACGACCGCUGUGAAACUGUGCAAAACACAUGUUGCUGCUGUCCAGUUCAAAAAAAUAAAAGUUUUAAUUUUCAUCAUUCUGUUGUCUUUGUACCAUUUUUAAUUAAUAUUGGCUUUCAAAUUAUUUCAAAGAUAAUAAUUUGAAAUUAUAAGACAGCCUUAUAAAUAAAAAAUUUAAUGUUUUUUAAUGAUGCGGGGAAACAUCUUUCAAUCAUUCAACCUUUCAAGGAAGCAAAUCUCUUAUAAUUGUGCUUAUAUACACAAACACACAUAAAUCUGACCUGAUAUUCAUCAAAGUCUUCACUCAGUCAUGCUGGUUAUCAUUUUACGUUUCUGUUAUUCUGUUGGAAUAUUUUAAUAUCGCAUAAAAUAUAUAAGGUGGCAAGCCUAAUUACUUUUUUAACAAUUCUUAGUAAAAACUAAUUAAGUCAUCUGUCUGUUUGUAGAGCCACCGAUUGCCGUAAAAAUGUUACAAAAAAAUAAUCACGUUAAUAAGCCAGACUUUAACAGGGUUGUGUGUUUUUUCUCAUUAAGAUCUGGACAAUGUGGUUUAUUUGGAGGCAAGCCCACACACACACAUUCUUGCUUCCAUAAAUACUUAUUAGCACCCCAAGUGUUUAUGAACAUGUGGGUGAAAACCAUCUUAACAAAUCCAAGAAUUUGUUUUUGUAAUAUUUACUAAGCUACAGUAGCAUGCUGUUUCUAGAAUUUACAGAGUAUUUCUGCAAAAUGAAACUGCUUCUUCCCAUUAAGCGGCAGACGCGAGAUCAACAGGACAGGUAAGUCAGAAAACAUAACAUCAUACUGCUUGGAUUUGGAAUUUUCAUCAGAUUUGUGGAGCGUAAAGAAAAAUUUAAUAAUGAUGGGGUUACCCUUAAGUCUCUACCACAGGAUCAAAAUCAAACAUAUCCAUUAAGUAAACAUUAAACAGAACAGCUCUGAUUCAUGAUACCCAAAACAGAUGGCUGUGUAGGAGAGUGUCAUUGAGCAUAAACUACUGACUUCAAGGCAUCGAAAUACUGUACAUUACUGCAUAUACAUGCCCAUUAAAAGAACAUUUAUGCUUCUUAAAAUUAUUUUAUUUCAUGAACAUAUAACCUGAAGACAUCACAAACAGAGAAACUGAAUGGAUUAAAAACAUUUUAAAACUCAUGAACUCAGCAGCUCAGCGUGAAUCUUGAACAUCUUGUUCCUCUCCAGAGUGGAAUGACCUAAUGCUGUGACACAGAUGUCUGAGUGAUUGCAUUAUGACCAGAAUCUGUAACAUCAUACUUAAAUCUGAGUAAUCAUUAUAGAUUACACACACACAUACACACAAAGCUCAUGAUUAGCUAUUUCAGUGACAUUUUCCAGCACUGCAGUUGGACUGAACAAACAUCCGGCUCAAGAUUCCUCAUACCCAGAGUGUAUAAAUCAUAAAAAAAGACCAUUUUUACUCUUCAACUAGAUCGUGUUGCUUGUGUCAGACUGUGAAAAACUGUAGGAAUAAUACUCAAGUGUUGUCCAUUUUAAAAUCAACCUACUCACCAUAUUCAUAGUUUCUUUCAUGAUACAAAUAUUCAUAUUAAAAUAUUCAAAUGCUAAGAUGUGGAUAUGUUCGCUUGCAUAAUCUUUUGUAUUUCUUAGAUAGCUCUAGCAGUUAGAAACUAAAUACCUGGAAGCAUUUUUUCAAUGCAAAAUACUUUAUUUUAAAAGAAUGGACCUAGAUGAUCACCAGUAAGGUCCCCCCCACCCCCAAAAA